rnacentral:rRNA from 1 species
AUGCCCCUUAUGACCUGGGCUACAAACGUGAUACAAUGGCUGAAACAAAGGGCAGCGAAGCAGUGAUGUGAAAGCGAAACCCAAAAAAGCAGUCUCAGUUCGGAUUGAAGUCUGCAACUCGACUUCAUGAAGUCGGAAUCGCUAGUAAUCGCGAAUCAGAACGUCGCGGUGAAUACGUUCUCGGGGUUU